CCCGGUAGCUCUGGGCUCUGCGGAUCAUGUCCCGGAUCUCCAUGUUCAGCUCCAUCAGCUUGGUGCAGAUCUCAGUCAGGCUCUGGUUAGACCCCACCAACGCGAUCUUAGUUCCCUGACCAGGGAGCAAACCUGCUGCCCCUCCCUGCAUUGGAAGUGUGGAGUCUUAACCAAUGAACCACAAGGAACGUCCCCCUUAGAAAUUUUCGACACGUCAGAAGCUUUCCCAGGGCCAGCUCUGCAGAACCAGGAGGUGAGCUGUGCUAAUUCACUGAAGGCUUGAGGCUGUGGCCUGGAGAUCCCAGAGCUGCGACGCUUUACCCUGACCUACGUUUCUAUGAACUUCAACUCCCCAGAAGCCACUCCACAAUGAAUUCCACGGGCAACGGAGAGUUUACAUCUUUGAAGGAAGGAGGAAGAAAAGAGCAGGAGCUGAGGCCAAGAGAAACCACGGUGAUGGGGAGAGACAGCUACUGAGAGUGGUGGAGAGAGAGGAGAUCCAUCUCAACCAGUUUUGGAUCACAGCUCCCAGAGACAGGAGGACUAAAAUGGAGCCACAAAGUCUCUGAAGAAAGAAAGAGUAUAUUCUGUGUGGGACCUGUCUCUCUGAGAGCUUUGCACAUGUCACCUCAUCAGUGCUCACAACCAGAUAAAUGUCUUAGGAAUUGAUCCAGUCAACUGAUAAAAAAAUCCGAAUUCCAGUGUUCUUCCCAGUACCCAGCCCCAUGUACCAGCUCACAUGACAACCUGUUGAUGUACUGGCAUUAAGUGGAAACUAUACGUUUGAGAUGUACAUUAAAAAAGUUUUUUUUCCUACUGCAUUUACUGAGCACCUAUUGUGUGUGAGCCACUGUGCCAGCCACUGGAAUCAAAGCAAGACACCAUUACCUGCCCUCCCCUGCAGGAGACAGACACCUAAACAGCUCCACGUCCAGGAAGUCGAAGUCUCUGAAGACCCGGAACUGCUGCUCGCUGUUGGUGUCAUCCAUGUUCUCCUGCUCCCGGGCCCCGUCCUCCGACGACACCAGGCUCGUCUGAUGCUCCAGCAGGUCCAGGUCCCCGCACGACGAGAAGAUCACCUGUGAACCGAGAGGGCUCUCCUGAGAAACUACUCUCCCUUCGGUGGUUUGAGCUACAGAACCCGUAACUGGCUCCUCGUAGCACUGUAUUUCCAGUACACACCUAAUUCCUUAAGUGGGUAUUUUUAGAAUGUUCUUUUAUUAUUUAUGUUGGACAGGUGCCUUCAGAUUAAACGUUGCAAAGACGCAAGUUCAUGUA